rnacentral:rRNA from 1 species
GAACGAACGCUGGCGGCAGGCUUAACACAUGCAAGUCGAACGGGUGCAGCAAUGCAUCAGUGGCAGACGGGUGAGUAACACGUGGGAACCUUCCUAGGGGUACGGAACAACUCAGGGAAACUUGAGCUAAUACCGUAUACGUCCGUGAGGAGAAAGAUUCAUCGCCCCUAGACGGGCCCGCGUCGGAUUAGGUAGUUGGUGGGGGUAACGGCCUACCAAGCCUACGAUCCGUAGCUGACUGAGAGGAUGAUCAGCCACACUGGGACUGAGACACGGCCCAGACUCCUACGGGAGGCAGCAGUGGGGAAUCUUGGACAAUGGGCGCAGGCCUGAUCCAGCCAUGCCCGCGU